AUAGUAAUUGACUUUCCAUAACAUUAGGUUAUGAUAAUUUUCAAAAUUGCUAAAUUAUGCACCUAUUGAUGAAUUGGUCAUGGAAUUGGUGCAUCAGUCCUUCAGUUAGGUGGCAAUCAUCAUUCAUCAAUUAAAGUCACACCCACCAAGUGCAGAAACACCAUACCAGGAACAUAAGUUAAACACCAAUCACAUGAGGCAGA
rnacentral:misc_RNA from 1 species